rnacentral:rRNA from 1 species
AUUGAACGCUGGCGGCAUGCCUUACACAUGCAAGUCGAACGGCAGCACGGGGGCAACCCUGGUGGCGAGUGGCGAACGGGUGAGUAAUGCAUCGGAACGUGCCCAGUAGUGGGGGACAACCAGUCGAAAGAUUGGCUAAUACCGCAUACGACCUAUGGGUGAAAGCGGGGGACCGCAAGGCCUCGCGCUAUUGGAGCGGCCGAUGUCUGAUUAGCUAGUUGGUGAGGUAAAAGCUCACCAAGGCGACGAUCAGUAGCUGGUCUGAGAGGACGACCAGCCACACUGGGACUGAGACACGGCCCAGACUCCUACGGGAGGCAGCAGUGGGGAAUUUUGGACAAUGGGCGCAAGCCUGAUCCAGCCAUGCCGCGUGCGGGAAGAAGGCCUUCGGGUUGUAAACCGCUUUUGGCAGGAACGAAACGGCGACUCUUAAUACGGGUCGUUAAUGACGGUACCUGCAGAAUAAGCACCGGCUAACUACGUGCCAGCAGCCGCAGUAAUAC